GCGCACGUGGCGAAAUGGCAGACGCGCCAGUUUUAGGAACUGGUGGAGCAAUCCGUGGGGGUUCAAGUCCCUCCGUGCGCA
rnacentral:tRNA from 1 species